CGUUUGCAUAAACAGAUGGGAGCUAAUUGGGCUUUUUUUCCAGGCAAGAUCACCUUCCUGGAGUGAUCCAUUGGAAACGGACUACUCAGGAAGACCCGGGUCCAGUACCAGUGUAUGUAAGCGGCGUGGAGCGGCAGCAGAGCACCGAGCGGCAGCUCCGCGCCACCUCCAGGAACUUGUCUUCCAGGCUCUUGUCCAGGGCGUAGGCCAAGGUGCGGCCGUCGAUCACCAGGCCCAGGCGGUGCGCGGCGUGGGACGCGGAGGGCGGCGAAGGGCGGAUCUCGAAGGCGGGGGAGUUGGCGGC